GACGAACGCUGGCGGCGUGCCUAAUACAUGCAAGUAGAACGCUGAAGGAGGAGCUUGCUUCUCUGGAUGAGUUGCGAACGGGUGAGUAACGCGUAGGUAACCUGCCUGGUAGCGGGGGAUAACUAUUGGAAACGAUAGCUAAUACCGCAUAAGAGUAGAUGUCGCAUGACAUUUGCUUAAAAGGUGCAAUUGCAUCACUACCAGAUGGACCUGCGUUGUAUUAGCUAGUUGGUGAGGUAACGGCUCACCAAGGCAACGAUACAUAGCCGACCUGAGAGGGUGAUCGGCCACACUGGGACUGAGACACGGCCCAGACUCCUACGGGAGGCAGCAGUAGGGAAUCUUCGGCAAUGGACGGAAGUCUGACCGAGCAACGCCGCGUGAGUGAAGAAGGUUUUCGGAUCGUAAAGCUCUGUUGUAAGAGAAGAACGAGUGUGAGAGUUGAAAGUUCACACUGUGACGGUAUCUUACCAGAAAGGGACGGCUAACUACGUG
rnacentral:rRNA from 1 species